UUUCGAGCCAAUGACGAUCCCUGCAAAGAACAAAGAACCAAAGAAACUGACAAGCUGGCAAUGCGGUUUAGGUGGUAAUGGAGGAUUCGGCGACCAUGAUUAUCCUAAUCCCGGCGAACAACAACUAAUUUGUUUUGUUGCGUAGAUACGAUAGAUUAUACGAGGAGUGACAUGUGAGGAUAAUGUUAACAACUCUGCCUUUUUUUUCUUGUCCUUAUGGCAAAGACUUUUCAGCCCGUUGAGUGAUCAGAUCAGACGCAGUGGCACCUAUCAUAAUAGCCUAGACUUGAUAUAGAUUUCCUGUUGCCAUGAGAAAGAAAUUUGAAACUUUUUUGCUCAUGUGUUAAAUCACGGCACAGUGCCUGCCAGGCGUUUGAGGAAAUUACAACAAGA
rnacentral:lncRNA from 1 species